rnacentral:lncRNA from 1 species
ACUUACAGCAGAAUCUACACAGGCUGGGGAGCCCCUGGCUCCCCUCCCUACUGUCCACACCCAACCCCAACCUAGAGCAGCUGGCUAUAGGGCCCAGAGCCCAGGCGGGUCCCACCUCCUGCUGACCUGACCCAGCGCCCGCUCUCUCCCCCGCACACUUUGGUGACCUUACCCAGCGUCCCUCCCCGCUCCUACAGGUUCUGACUGACCCAGCGUCCCUCCGCCUCCCACACCAUGUUGAGCUGCACCUUGUCCCCUUCCGCCCCAGCUAACUCGGUGACCAGUGGAGGCCACACCCACGUGACACCUGCUGUCCUUGACAGCAGCUCCGACGGCACCUCUGUGGCUCUGCAGGAGCCGCCUCCCCGCCUCGUGGGCACACAGGUGAGCUGACCGUACUUGCCCAGCCGGUCUGAGGGAAGCGAGGUCAGGGGCGACGGCGCCGCCUCCGCCUCCGCCUGUCCCCUCCCUCCGUCCGGCAUCCGCGCCGCUCAAGGACUCCAAAGUCAGCGUCGCGAAUCGACAUCUAGAGGAGUACUCACCACUUAAUUGAUGAUCAAUACACGUUCCUUGAAAGAACCGAUAGCAUGCGAUCGAUACAGAGCAUCUGCACUGGGAUUGUCCGCCCCGCCUGUCAGGGAGGCCUCGGGGGCUAAUGGAGCUGAGGGUAUAGUCGGCCUUGGACCCUCGCUUUUUUCCUUUCCUGUACUAUGAAGAUAACUGCCUUAUCUCCCCCUCAGGACUGUUUUGGGGAUUAAAUAGGACGUUUAAAUUACCAACGCUCUUUGAAAUAAACAUUUCAAAAUUA